CCUACGGGAGGCAGCAGUGGGGAAUAUUGGGCAAUGGGCGCAAGCCUGACCCAGCAAUGCCGCGUGCAGGAAGAAGGCUUUCGGGUUGUAAACUUCUUUGACAGGGGAAGAGCAGACGACGGUACCUAUAUAAGCAGCACCGGCUAACUCCGUGCCAGCAGCCGCGGUAAUACGGAGGGGGCGAGCGUUUUUCGGAGUUACUGGGCGUAAAGAGCACGUAGGGGGUGUUGUAAGUCAUUAGUCAAAGACUAGAGCUCAACUUUAGUAAGGCUAGUGAUACUAUAAUACUAGAGUAUCAGAGAGGAUUGCAGAAUGCCUGGUGUAGCGGUGAAAUGCGUAGAUAUCAGGAGGAAUACCGUUAGCGAAGGCGGCAAUCUGGCUGGAAACUGACGCUGAGGUGCGAAAGCGUGGGUAGCAAACAGGAUUAGAUACCCGUGUAGUC
rnacentral:rRNA from 1 species